rnacentral:tRNA from 1 species
GCCCGGAUGGCGAAACUGGUAGACGCAAGGGACUUAAAAUCCCUCGGGGGAAACCCCGUGCCGGUUCGAUUCCGGCUCCGGGCACCA